AUGGUUUCCGUGCUGUGACGUAACAAUGAGGCGUGGCACCCCUAUUAACAAUCCUUCAACCAGUGUUACUAACUUCGCUCUCUUGCUGUGCAUUAAACUUUUAUCUCGGUUGUUUCUGUAAAAAAUUCAGACCCAGAGAUUCUCGGGGAUCAACAGAAUAAUACAAAUUUCAGAGCCCGAAGAAAUCUUGUUUUAGUGUUCUAGGAAAAUGGAUGUCAAUCUCGAGGAACUGUUUCAGAGCAUCCCGCAGAAGCACUGGAAGAAGUUUUUGUCAGGCGAUUAUAAAAAACAAAAAGCAUGGUUACGGAAACAUUUACUUGUCGGUGCGACCGCUUUUUUUUCCGCUUUGGUCUUGAACAAAGUCCAGUGGACGUCUAUCACACUCAAGGUUGUCAAAGCCAUUGUGGGUAACAGACUCUCAGAAGCUCUUCCAAAGUUCCUGGGCAUUGCAGAGAUGGUCGACUCAAAAGCCGUUAAAAGGUUGGAGAAACAAGUUGUCAAAGAAGUGAUCAAAAAGAUCCAAUCCUCCACUAACAUGGUCAAUGUGAAGAAAGGCUCUUUGGUCAAGAGAAGCAUUCAUAAACUAUUUAAUAGGGCUGAUCAAACUGACCAGCAGCGACCUCAAACACCUGGUUUGAUAAAACCAAUCAUCAAAGGAACUGGGAAACAUGGGGUUUAUAAAAAAUACCGUGGGGGAAACUCCUGGUUCAAGGAGGGUGUCCCAGAGUUACCAACCAUUGUGGAAGUUUCUCAGGAGGAGGAAAUGUCGGCUGAACUCAGCUAUUUUGUACACACCGUUCAAGAAGACACAGAGGAAUUUGUAAAGAUGUCAACUGAUAGUAGAAAAGCCCACUGUUGUGAGACAUCACUGUUAUCAAAUGACUUUGACUUCCAAGAACAGCCAUCCCAUGGAGGAGUCCAAAUAUUUAAGAAUGAGAACAAUCAGGCUUGUAAUCGAUCCCAAUUUACCACAGCUGAGAAAAAAAGCACAAAAGAGCUGAGUUCAGAGGGUCAAUCCAGUAAAGAAUAUGUGAGCAAGAUUAUUAGGCUGGUUCUGUGUCAGGCGCUGGAAUCAUCAGAUAAGAUUUGCUACGCUGACGUCUUCCAGGACAUCUUCAAAUGGACCCUUGAGAAAGUCUGGGAUCGGGUUCAGGGGAAACAAAUACAAUUUCGCUCAAGAGUAAGAAAGAAAUACAUCAAAAAAAUCUUCUCGAGGCUUUGUAACGCAAUCUUCUGUACAGAUAAAGACGCCUUGUGUUUGCUAGUCAGGAAAAUCCCAGAGUUUGAAGAGACAAUUCUGUCCUGUUUUGAGAAAUACCUGUUAAAGAAAGUUAGCAAGGUGGAAAGAUGUCAUGAGUUUAUAUGUGACCUUUGUGGGAAAAUAAAAUGUUGGUCGCACUCUGAUUUGUUAGAGCCACCCCGUACAAAUAGUAAAGUGAUAGAUGGAGGGGGCUUUCAGAUGGAGUUUCUCCAGGGGAAAGGAGAAGCAGCAAUAACUAGAAGUCCCACAGACAUCCCAGAGAUCGCAGUUUGUCCUGGAGCUACAGCCAGAGCUGAGAAACACCAGGAAGAGACACCUGGAGCAGAAACCCAGAUAAAAACGGCCUUACAGACACUCGUUAAAGGAAGAUGGCGCUGUUUGUCGGUGUUCUCAGUGUUCGUCACCAUCUCGCCUGAUAAUGAGAAAGAAGAAGAUGGAUACCGGGGAAUCAGGAAGUAGCUACCGGUAAACAUCUCGUGUGUUUGCUGGAUACCAGUGAGUCACCCUGGUAACUGACAAAUGGCUAAGAUCCAUGAGUCAGUCAUGUAGAAUGUUUCCCUUUGUGUAACCGCAGAGCUGUCAUGGCGGAGGAACACCAAGGAACAGAGAGCGGCAGUAUCUGUGUGCCGGUGCGGGGGACAGCAGGUGACCCUGCGGUGUCAGUCCCUCGGGGACUCGGCUGCGCAGACCACUCACCGAGGAAAAAGUUAAUUCUACACAUGGACCUGAAUAACACCAUCCUAGUCUCGGACACGGUGACCGGACAAGGGACGGUGGCUGCUCUGGAUUACUUUCUCACCACCGUCACCUGGGGGAAGAUGAGCAAACACGGAAAAUGGGAAUGGCUGAGUGACUCCGCCUGGGAAGGCGUGGGAAGGACGGGAAUUUGCCAUUGUUUUCCGCACGUUUGGGACUGACCUGCCUCGGGUGUUGAAGGCCAUGUCUCGAGUAGUCAAUGAGGGAGCUCACCCACUGUUCCCUGAUCUGCCUGAGCUGAAGCUCAGAGUGGAUAUGACUCCGGGUAAAAUCCGUUGUACCAAGCGAGGGGUCGUCCUGAGCCGGGCUGAAGAGCGUGUGUCCACUCGUGAUGGAGAGAGAGGACUCUACCAGUACCUAAGUUCUGUGCAGGGUCUCGGUGGUUUCCAGGACCACUUUGACUGGUGGGCUACCAACACCUUCUCCAUCCGAGGAGGGAAGCCCCUAUGGAUUGACCCCUUUGACCAGAAUGUUCAGCAUGUCUUUAUAGAUGACAACAUCCGACAAAAUGAUGAGGACACCAUUGUAUGUCCAAAGGUGUUCCUGGAACCCGGCGGCCAUAACACCCGUGCAGCGGGCACUGCGGAGCUGUACGACAUCUCCUUGGUCCAGACCGACCUCCUACGAGCCAUUUCGGAUCGCAGCUACUUCACCCAGCGCGUUCACAUCUGCCUGGAAAACUACGAGAGAAACCUCUGGAAUGGGACAGCCUAGAAGACAACUUCUAGGCUCCUGUGAGGUUUGUCCAUGUGACAUUCUGCAGUUUGCAACGCUGCUGUCAACUAAGCAACACUUCCAUCCCAGCUCGCUGGGAUGGAAGUGGCAGUGACUUAAAGAGUCACUGCCACUUUAAGUGUGGUGUUGGGUCAUCUAAAAUAAAGACCUUACUGUGGUGGAA